AUUGAACGCUGGCGGCAUGCCUUACACAUGCAAGUCGAACGGCAGCACGGGAGCAAUCCUGGUGGCGAGUGGCGAACGGGUGAGUAAUGUAUCGGAACGGGCCCAGUCGUGGGGGAUAACGUAGCGAAAGCUACGCUAAUACCGCAUACGAUCUAUGGAUGAAAGCGGGGGAAAGAAAGACCUAGCGCGAUUGGAAGGGCGGAUAUCAGAUUAGGUAGUUGGUGGGGUAAAGGCCCACCAAGCCUGCGAUCUGUAGCUGGUCUGAGAGGACGACCAGCCACACUGGAACUGAGACACGGUCCAGACUCCUACGGGAGGCAGCAGUGGGGAAUUUUGGACAAUGGGCGCAAGCCUGAUCCAGCAAUGCCGCGUGCAGGAUGAAGGCCUUCGGGUUGUAAACUGCUUUUGUACGGAACGAAACGGCUUUUUCUAAUACAGAGAGCUAAUGACGGUACCGUAAGAAUAAGCACCGGCUAACUACGUGCCAGCCGCCGCCGUAA
rnacentral:rRNA from 1 species